rnacentral:rRNA from 1 species
GAGAGAGAGACAUGCGCGCAUAUCAAUAAGCGGAGGAAAAGAAACUAACAAGGAUUCCCUUAGUAACGGCGAGUGAAGCGGGAAGAGCUCAAAUUUGAAAUCUUCAAGGUUUUACCUUGACGAAUUGUAGUUUAAAGAAGUGUUUUCUGCUGAAGUUUUGGUAAAAGUUCUUUGGAAUAGGACAUCAUAGAGGGUGAGAAUCCCGUAUUUGACCAUUAUUUUCAGCUUUGUGAUACACUUUCAAAGAGUCGGAUUGUUUGGGAAUGCAGUCCAAAAUGGGUGGUAAAUUCCAUCUAAAGCUAAAUAUUGGCGAGAGACCGAUAGCCGAACAAGUACCGUGAGGGAAAGAUGAAAAGAACUUUGUAAAGAGAGUUAAACAGUACGUGAAAUUGUCAAAAGGGAAGCGUUUGACACCAGUGUUGUUUUCUCGAAAAUCAAUUAAAAAUGGCUCGAUUUUGUAUUGCUUGAGACCUUAAAAGCUCACUGUACAUUUUUCGUGUCUUUUUUAAUGCACUUCUCGUUUAACAAGUCAACAUCAGUUUCUUCUGUUGUAAAAGGGUCAUUGGAAGGUGGCUUUCUUUUCGGAGAAAGUGUUUAUAGCCUUUGGCCUCUGCAAUCGGAGAGACUGAGGUCUGCAGCGUAGACUCUUCGGGGUUAGAUACAUUUGUGCUAAGUUAUAGCUUUUUAUAGACAACUUGUUGACUAUAAUUAGUCCUUGUAGCUUACUCGCUUAUGCUAUUUUACCUACGCUUAGGAUGUUGAGUCGUAGAGCACGCAG